rnacentral:rRNA from 1 species
GAUGAACGCUGGCGGCGUGCUUAACACAUGCAAGUCGAACGAAGCAUUUGCGACAGAUUUUUUCGGAAUGAAGUUGCUUAUGACUGAGUGGCGGACGGGUGAGUAACGCGUGGGUAACCUGCCUUGUACUGGGGGAUAGCAUCUGGAAACGGCUGGUAAUACCGCAUAAGCGCACAAUGUUGCAUGACAUGGUGUGAAAAACUCCGGUGGUAUAAGAUGGACCCGCGUCUGAUUAGCUAGUUGGUGAGAUAACAGCCCACCAAGGCGACGAUCAGUAGCCGACCUGAGAGGGUGACCGGCCACAGUGGGACUGAGACACGGCCCAGACUCCUACGGGAGGCAGCAGUGGGGAAUAUUGCACAAUGGAGGAAACUCUGAUGCAGCGACGCCGCGUGAGUGAAGAAGUAAUUCGUUAUGUAAAGCUCUAUCAGCAGGGAAGAUAGUGACGGUACCUGACUAAGAAGCUCCGGCUAAAUACGUG